rnacentral:rRNA from 1 species
GACGAACGCUGGCGGCGUGCUUAACACAUGCAAGUCGAACGGAAAGGCCCUGCUUUUGUGGGGUGCUCGAGUGGCGAACGGGUGAGUAACACGUGAGUAACCUGCCCUUGACUUUGGGAUAACUUCAGGAAACUGGGGCUAAUACCGGAUAGGAGCUCCUGCUGCAUGGCGGGGGUUGGAAAGUUUCGGCGGUUGGGGAUGGACUCGCGGCUUAUCAGCUUGUUGGUGGGGUAGUGGCUUACCAAGGCUUUGACGGGUAGCCGGCCUGAGAGGGUGACCGGCCACAUUGGGACUGAGAUACGGCCCGGAGUCCUACGGGAGGCAGCAGUGGGGAAUAUUGCACAAUGGGCGGAGGCCGGAUGCAGCAACGCCGCGUGCGGGAUGACGGCCUUCGGGUUGUAAACCGCUUUCGCCUGUGACGAAGCGUGAGUGACGGUAAUGGGUAAAGAAGCACCGGCUAACUACGUGCCAGCAGCCGCCGUAA